rnacentral:lncRNA from 1 species
UUUAUGCCAAAAGAAAACACAAAAAUGGAUGCAACAUACCAAGAUAAACCCUUAAAGCCAACACUAUCAGAGUGGCACAGCAGAAGUGUGUUGUAGACCCACAAACCAUAACACAUGAAAGCUUUCUCUUGAAUGGACAAAGAGAAAUUAUUGAUGGGAUAAACAUGAGAUUUAUGCCCCAAGACUAUAUUUAUGAAUGAUCACAUA